GAAAUGCGAUAAGUAAUGUGAAUUGCAGAAUUCAGUGAAUCAUCGAAUCUUUGAACGCACCUUGUGCUCCUUGGUAUUCCUUGGAGCAUGCCUGUUUGAGUAUCAUGAAAUCUUCAAAGUAAAUCUUUUGUUAACUCAAUUGGUUUCUACUUUGGUAUUGGAGGUCUUUGCAGCUUCACACCUGCUCCUCUUUGUUCAUUAGCUGGAUCUCAGUGUUAUGCUUGGUUCCACUCGGCGUGAUAAGUUAUCUAUCGCUGAGGACACUGUAAAAGGUGGCCAAGGUAAAUGCAGAUGAACCGCUUCUAAUAGUCCAUUGACUUGGACAAUACUUUUAUGAUCUGAACUCAAAUCAGGUAGGACUACCCGCUGAACUUAAGC
rnacentral:misc_RNA from 1 species